UACAGAGGUCUCAAGCGUUUGUUCGGAUUCAUUGGGCGUAAAGGGUGCGUAGGCGGUUUGUUGCGUCGGCUGUGAAAUCCCGAGGCUCAACCUCGGGUCUGCAGUCGAUACGAGCAAACUAGAGUGUUGCAGGGGAGACUGGAAUUCCUGGUGUAGCGGUGAAAUGCGCAGAUAUCAGGAGGAACACCAAUGGCGAAGGCAGCUCACUGGGACGGUAUUGACGCUGAGACGCGAAAGCGUGGGGAGCAAACAGG
rnacentral:rRNA from 1 species